UCUUUUGUUUCGAAUCAUUGGUUCGGAGCUUGUUUUAAACUGGCCAAAUUCACGUGAUUUUAGCAAACGAGUCUUCAUUAUGUCAUAAUUGUUUCGAAACGUUUUGAAAAUCCGACAAUUCACCACUACGAGGAGUUGAUCACAAAUGACCAGUGUAGGUGAACUUAGGUCAGUUUUUUUUAUAAAUGUUCAUAAAACAUUCAUCCUUCUUACUAAUAACACUACCGUUUUGUCUACUUUUUUUUUUUAGACAGAAUUAAUGACAAAAUUGUGCAUAAUUAAAAAGAGAGUUUGUUUUAAUGAUUUUCUUUGCUAUAAAUAAAACUAAAAACACAUAAUACACUUUUAAUUAUGUCUUAAUUAAAUUAAAUUAUUUUUCUUAAAAUAUAUUUUUAGAACAAUCUUGCUAUUAUUUUGUAGAAAGUGUAAAAUGUUUGGACAGAUUUUGCAAUUGUUCAAUUGAUUUGAAGCUUCGAAAAGCUUAGUUUUUCCCAUCACUAGUGCACAAGAGGUGAAUCCAGAUCCAACCAUGUACAAGAACCAAAACUGUGAAAAACGCCUUAUUACAGGCCAAGCCCCGCCCUUUUUAGUUAAGACCAUCAUUAACACAAGCGGUAAGUAAACAGGUAAGUAGUAUGUACAUUUACACAACACAAUUAUAUAUAUAAACAUAUAUUAACGAAAUAUUUAUAGAAACCAAAAGGUGAUCAAAAUAACAAACACAAAAGAUAAACAAAAAUAAUAAACACAAAAUAAUAAUAUCUAAUUUAAUUAUUCCCCCUGCAACAGACAGGAUAAUGGACGAGCCGGCUUCCGGCUGCUUCACGCCGACACGCCCACUCAUAGCGGACCCGGCGCUAUUUAUUCAGGCCGCAGGUGGCGAUCGGGUUCGACCGGCCGAUUACGGAGAAGCAACGCGGAAGACGCUAAUAACAGGUUGGUUGGGGGCCCCAAGCAGCCGCCUACCUACGCCUCUAUGUUAAGACCGCAUCUGCGAUGGCAUGAGGGUGAGCAAAUUAUGAGAGAAUUUGCACAUUAAGCUUACAAAGCUGUCCAUAACCUUUUGAGAGGACUGAAAUGUCAGCCAGCCCUUGUUAAAGAAGCUCAUGAUCCCAUGGAAGCCAUCAGAUAUAUGCUGCCAUGUGACAUCAACACCUAGAUCCUUCAGUCGCUUUUGGAACAGAAUGCCAUCAUCCCUCAGCACAUCAAACUCACAGGCUCGUACACCCUCACUGGAACUCCACUGAAGGUCAUGUCCUUAAUACAAAGCCCAGGGGGAUGCGGCCCUUUGUGGACCAUGAUGCGAGCUCUGCACCAUCGUGUGAAAUUCACUUGAUCGCAUAGCCCCAGUCGCU